rnacentral:rRNA from 1 species
GAUGAACGCUGGCGGCGUGCCUAAUACAUGCAAGUCGAGCGAACAGACGAGGAGCUUGCUCCUCUGACGUUAGCGGCGGACGGGUGAGUAACACGUGGAUAACCUACCUAUAAGACUGGGAUAACUUCGGGAAACCGGAGCUAAUACCGGAUAAUAUAUUGAACCGCAUGGUUCAAUAGUGAAAGACGGUUUUGCUGUCACUUAUAGAUGGAUCCGCGCCGCAUUAGCUAGUUGGUAAGGUAACGGCUUACCAAGGCGACGAUGCGUAGCCGACCUGAGAGGGUGAUCGGCCACACUGGAACUGAGACACGGUCCAGACUCCUACGGGAGGCAGCAGGAGGGAAUCUUCCGCAAUGGGCGAAAGCCUGACGGAGCAACGCCGCGUGAGUGAUGAAGGUCUUCGGAUCUUAAAACUCUGUUAUUAGGGAAGAACAAAUGUGUAAGUAACUAUGCACGUCUUGACGGUACCUAAUCAGAAAGCCACGGCUAACUACGUG